GAUGUACUCCCUCCGUCCGGAAAAGAUUGUCCCUCAAAUGGAUGUAUCUAGCAUUAAGUUAGUGCUAGAUACAUUCAUAUGAGGGACAAGUUUGGGAUAAAUUUUUUUGGACAAAGAGAGUACCCA
rfam:Triticum urartu cultivar G1812 contig119225, whole genome shotgun sequence.